rnacentral:misc_RNA from 1 species
UUUCCGUAGGUGAACCUGCGGAAGGAUCAUUAUCGAAUCUAACAUGAAAGAGGUAGAGAGACUGUGCUGGCCGAUCGCCGAUCGGCAUGUGCACGUCCCCUCGCCUUUUUCUGUCUACAUACACCUGUGCACCUAUUGUAGAUCCCCUCGAAAGAGAGGGAACUAUGUUUUCAUCACAUCACACACAAAGAAUGUCUAGAAUGUAAACAUGAUCAUAUAUACAACUUUCAGCAACGGAUCUCUUGGCUCUC